UAUCUCUGUAGAGUCUGCAUAUCAAUAAGCGGAGGAAAAGAAACUAACUAAGGAUUCCCUUAGUAACGGCGAGUGAAGCGGGAAGAGCUCAAAUUUGAAAUCUUCAAGGUUUUACCUUGACGAAUUGUAGUUUAAAGAAGUGUUUUCUGUUGGAUGUUUUGGUAAAAGUUCUUUGGAAUAGGACAUCAUAGAGGGUGAGAAUCCCGUAUUUGACCAUUACUUCCAGCUUUGUGAUACACUUUCAAAGAGUCGGAUUGUUUGGGAAUGCAGUCCAAAAUGGGUGGUAAAUUUCAUCUAAAGCUAAAUAUUGGCGAGAGACCGAUAGCGAACAAGUACCGUGAGGGAAAGAUGAAAAGAACUUUGAAAAGAGAGUUAAACAGUACGUGAAAUUGUCAAAAGGGAAGCGUUUGACACCAGUGUUGUUUUCUCGAAAAUCAAUUAAAAAUGGCUUGGUUUUGUGUUGUAUUGACCUUAAAAGCUUUCGUCACUUUUUUCAUGUCUUUUUAAUGCACUUUUCGUUUAACAAGUCAACAUCAGUUUCUUUUGUUGUAAAAAGGUCAUUGGAAGGUGGCUUUCUUUUCGGAGAAAGUGUUUAUAGCCUUUGACUCCUGCAAUCGGAGAGACUGAGGUCUGCAGCGUAGAUCCUUCUGGAUUAGAUUCAUUUGUGCUAAGUUACAACCGUUUAUAGACAGCUUGUUGACUAUAUUCGAUCCUGUAGCUUACUCGCUUAUGUAAUUUUACCUACGCUUAGGAUGUUGAGUCAUCACACAUCUCU
rnacentral:rRNA from 1 species